rnacentral:lncRNA from 1 species
AAGAGAGGGCAUGGGGAGAAGUUGAGCUGCAAUACAGCAGCCACAAAAUCCUCAGCUAGUCAUCCAUGGGGAAGCCACGGAGCUAGGAGGACACUUCAAGGAUGUUCCUGAGUGAAGUCCUUACCUUGGUACAUAAUAGGGAAGAAGAUUCAGAGGUUUGAGAAGUGCUAUCUCCAACUUUCUUGCCGGGAAAGGCAGUCACAUGCCUGCAAUCUUUCAAUUCUGCUCUGCAACAUAAGAAUGGGCUUUGGGCCUGGAAUGCUUCCUAACCAAGAGAUAGGGAGACCUCAAAGCCUGUGCUGGGAUUAUAACUUUGUGUGGGAAUAUAUUUGCCUGUUUCAGAUCCAAUAAUAACUUUGUCUUUCUAUUUAAGCAUUUGCUUCACGUGAUACCAGGCCAACUCUACCACCAUAACCCAUUCUUAGCUGCGGGAGGAAAUAGGUUCCUUCACUUGCAGAACAAGAGGAGUGCAUGUAGUUAAUCAGUGUGCAUUGGCUGCAAUACAACCCCCUGAGCCACAAGGAUUGGCACCCACUAUUGAAGCUAAUCUUGUUCUGUCUCCUCUAUGUGGGUAAAGCCAUGUUCCAUCCAGUGCAUGUGUGAGUUCUAUCUUUCUUAUUGACCCUGAACCAUGAUGUGGAUUGGCAUCCUGGGUAUGCUGCUUCUGUGGAAUGGGAAUCCUUCCCUGGAGGUUAUAACAGGAAUUCCUCGAUCAACGCCUCUAAUUAAAUGCCAGGCAUCACCAAUUCUGCACAACUUUAGCCAUCUGUUCAACACCUCUGGGGUUACUUUCUCUUCUUGGGAGUGACUCAAGGAAUAGGGAUGCAGGCUAUCUUCUAAGGGAACUGAGCAGCAUCUUUAACCUCUGGAUCUUCCUUCAGAGAGAAAUGUCACUCCCUGGGGAUCUUGUUUUCCAGAUACUACAAGAAGAAAGUGUUUUCAGAAGUUUACACUGAAAACAAGAAAGUCCAAAUUACUGAGUCCAACUUUUCUUAUUUCAGAUGAAUGGUUUCAUCAAGAGUGGCCACCUUGGAAGAUGAAACAAACUUAGGAAUGAAGGCUAUGCAUAAAGGACUCAAAAGAGAGAGCCAGGUGCCUGACACCACAGAGGACUGAACCAAAUUUCUCUGGACCAUCUGCUUCCACAUUUGUUGUAAGAGAGAAUUAAACUUUUCUCUCACUUAAGCCACAAUUAUUUGUAUUUUCCUGUCACUCUCUACCAAAUUUAACCUUAAAAAACUCAAUAUGUGUGGCUGAUGUGUAAAUUCCCAAGCCAAUUGUAAUUUUUAAAGAUUAUUUACACUCUUUCCUGCUUUCAAUUAGCAAUAUUAAUUAAAACUUGAUUUUACUUCUCUAAUUCUGUCUAAAUUUAAAACAGUUUCCCUAUUUUUUAUAUGCACUAACAGCUGAGUUUCAGGAAAAGACAAAAGCCCAACCUGAGCAGCCAUGUAGAUUCGUGUAGAACCCUAAAUUAAGAACAACAACAACAAAAAAACUUAUCUGUAGUAUGAACAUUAUAUUCACUUUGAAUUUGGAUAUUUCCUGAUUGACAAGGAAGAUUAAGAUACUCCUAUAGGAAGAUAUUUUUCUAAUUUCUUAAUUUAUAUAUUGAAAUAUAGUGAAAAUAAGACAAAAAAGUCAUACUUAACAAUCACACAGCCUUAAAGAAAACAGAGAGCAGUAGCAAUCACUAACAAUACAGUGUGAUAAGCAUUAGCAUAGAUUGCACUAAAUACAUAUUAGUGACUAAUAAACUCUAGCACAGAUUAAGUUAAACAUACAUUAGUAAAUAGACUAGCAAGGAACAUAUAACAAUAUUUCAUGUAUCUUGCAGAUUAUAUAAUAAUUUCCCAUCUUGUCUACUAACAUCUGUAAUAUAAUUUACUUUAAUUUUUGUUGCUAAUUCUUUAUCCCAUGAAUCAUAUUCCACACAUCAAAGAAUCUAGCAAUUUUUUAUAAACUAAUGGAAAUAUAUUGCAAAUUCUUGGAAAUCACAUAUCCUGUGAAACUUUAACAAAUUUAUUUAAGAGAAUAUAUAUUUAAGUACUCAUAUUGUAUAUAAGUAAAAUACAUCUAUUUAAGACUACAUAUAUAGCUUUAAAUAUUUAUGUGAUCUAUAAAUUCUGCUCUUUAGCAUUUAAGAAGCCCUCAUCUACCACUGCUUUUUUCUUCUAGGAAUGCUUCCUCUUCCACUCCAUCUACAUAGUUCUGUGUCAUGUCCUUCUAUAACUGCAGUUUAAAGGGUAAUCAGAGUGCGCCAAUCAGAUACAUUUCCUGGGAUUUUAGAAUUUGUGAUCAGAGAAAGUAGAAGUCAUUUUUGUCAUUUCACUGAAGUUGUGAGUUGUAAAAUUCAGAGACUAAUGUAGGUAAUAUUUCCAUCCAAGUGAAGAGGGCCAGUUUGCAGUGAGAGGAAAUAAUUCUAAAUAGACCAAAAUAAGUAUCAUCAAGAGGGAAAGGAGAAAGAGAGAGUUCUGCCACAAUCAACUUCCAGUUUCAACUUUUCCUGAGGCCUCAUAUGCAUCACUGCCUUUCUUGUGGCUCAACUACUCAAAGCCUUCUUAGAAGCAAUGAUGUAAUCAAUGUACCCUUAUGCUCUUGUUCUGAAGCUCUCUUGAAUCAUGGGCUUGAAUCAUUCCAAUUAACUUACAUCAUGGUGUAGUAAGCAACCCCAAAUUAUAAUGGUUUAAAGAAAACAAAUGAUUAUUUCUGUCUCUCAUGUUAUAUGACACUUAGGGAUUGGCAGAAAGAGCCCUGUUUGUCACAGCCACUUGGAAACUUAAGUAAAUGCUACAGACUAGUUGUCAAGUCAGACGGCAAUGAGCUGUAGAAGGUCUCACAGUAGCAAUUAAGUGCUUUAAACUCAAAUCAGAAAUUAGCACACAUAACUUCUAUUUUCAACACUUUGUCUAGAACUGGUAAUACAACCCCAACUGACCACAAGAGAACCAAGGUUUUAGUCUGGCAAUAUACACCAAAAAAAAAAAAAAAAAAAAAAAGUGAGAAAAGGAAAUAAAACAUUAGCAACCAGAAUCCUAAUUGGGGAUAUCACCACAGAUCCCACAGAAAUACAAACUACUAUCAGACAAUAUUAUAAACAACUCAAUGCAAAUAAAUAAGAAAAUUCAGAAGAAAUGGAUAAAUUCCUGUACAAAUAAACCCUCCCAAGACUAAACCAGGAAGAAGUCAAAUUCCUGAAUAGACCAAUAACAAGUUCUGAAAUUGAGGCAGUAAUUAAUAGCCUACAAAAAAAAAAAAAGCCCAGGACCAGACGGAUUCACAGCUGAAUUCUACCAGAGGUACAAAAAGGAGCUGGUACCAUUCCUUCUGAAACUAUUCCAAACAAUAGAAAAAGAAGGACUCUUCCCUAUCUCAUUUUAUGAGGCCAGCAUCACCCUGAUACGAAAACCUGGCAGAGACACAACAAAAAAAGAAAAUUUUAGGCCAGUAUCCCUGAUGAACAUUGAUGAGAAAAUCCUCAAUAAAAUACUGGCAAACCGAAUCCAGCAGCACAUCAAAAAGCUUAUCCACCACGAUCAAGACGGCUUCAUCCUGGGAUGCAAGGCUGGUUCAACAUAUGCAAAUCAAUAGAUGUAAUCCAUCACAUAAACAGAACCAUUGACAAAAAACACAUGAUUAUCUCAAUAGAUGCAGAAAAGGCCUUCGAUAAAAUGAAACACCUCUUCAUGCUAAAAACUCUCAAUAAACUAGGUAUUGAUGGAACGUAUCUCAAAAUAAUAAGAGCUAUUUAUGACAAACAUGCAGCCAAUGUCAUACUGAAUGGGCAAAAGUUGGAAGCAUUCCCUUUGAAAAUCACCACAAGACAAGAUGUCCUCUCUCACCACUCCUACUCAACAUAGUAUUGGAAGUUCUGGCCAGGGCAAUCAGGCAAGAGAAAGAAAUAAAGCGUAUUCAAAUAGGAAGAAAGGAAGUCAAAUUGUCUGUUUGCAGAUGACAUGAUUGUAUAUUUAGAAGACCCCAUCAUCUCAGACCAAAAUCUCCGUAAGCUGAUAAGCAACUUCAGCAAAGUAUCAGGAUACAAAAUCAGUGUGCAAAAAUCAC